UUCAAACUCGGACACCAUUUUAAAGACAGACAAGAAGGAAGAGGGAGUAAAAGAAAGAAUAAAACUGAAAAAAGAACGGAGGACAACAGCAGAGACAGUUUCCACAGGACAGACGUUCAACUAAAGAACUAAAUUUAACAGAGGGACAACAGCAGAGACAGUUUCCACAGGACAGACGUUCAACUAAAGAACUAAAUUUAACAGAGGUAAGCUCUAGUAGCCCCUUCACAUAAGCUGUCUUUCUUUCCAUUUGAAAGGGGGACAGUUCACUUUGUCAUAGGA